rnacentral:rRNA from 1 species
UACGAAGGGGGCUAGCGUUGCUCGGAAUCACUGGGCGUAAAGGGUGCGUAGGCGGGUCUUUAAGUCAGGGGUGAAAUCCUGGAGCUCAACUCCAGAACUGCCUUUGAUACUGAAGAUCUUGAGUUCGGGAGAGGUGAGUGGAACUGCGAGUGUAGAGGUGAAAUUCGUAGAUAUUCGGAAGAACACCAGUGGCGAAGGCGGCUCACUGGCCCGGUACUGACGCUGAGGUGCGAAAGCGUGGGGAGCAAACAGG